CAGCCGCGGGAAUACGUAGGGUGCAAGCGUUAAUCGGAAUUACUGGGCGUAAAGCGUGCGCAGGCGGUUAUAUAAGACAGAUGUGAAAUCCCCGGGCUCAACCUGGGAACUGCAUUUGUGACUGUAUAGCUAGAGUACGGCAGAGGGGGAUGGAAUUCCGCGUGUAGCAGUGAAAUGCGUAGAUAUGCGGAGGAACACCGAUGGCGAAGGCAAUCCCCUGGGCCUGUACUGACGCUCAUGCACGAAAGCGUGGGGAGCAAACAGGAUUAGAUACCCCAGUAGUCCCUGUCUCUUAUACACA
rnacentral:rRNA from 1 species